GACGUAGGGGGCAAGCGUUGUCCGGAAUUAUUGGGCGUAAAGCGCUCGUAGGCGGAUCGGUAAGUCUGUGAAGAAAGACCCGGGCUCAACUCGGGGAACGGCAUAGAUACUGCUGAUCUUGAGACAGUCAGAGGAUGAUGGAAUUCCAGGUGUAGCGGUGAAGUGCGUAGAUAUCGGGAAGAACACCCGUGGCGAAGGCGGCUCUCUGGGACGGUACUGACGCUGAGACGCGAAAGCGUGGGGAGCGAACAGG
rnacentral:rRNA from 1 species